rnacentral:lncRNA from 1 species
AACAUGAUUGAUUGAUUGAUUGUUGGUUGCUUAACGUCCAGUGGCAAAUAUUUCAUGCAUAUUCAGGACGAGAACAAGUUCACAAUAAAUACAAUAGGUAGGUUGUUGUAAUAGAGGCCAUCUAGGAUGAUGGUCGGGGAAAUUUGGACUGCCACUGGAAAAUGAGGGUAUAUUGGAUAGGGACAGAAAUUUUGCCUUGCAACAGGCCACCUACGGACCCCUCAAAGAGUUGUUGCAAGGGUUCUUAACGUGCAAAGAGCGUGGCACUUUCUUUACACGAGGCAUCGGAUUUAACGUCCCCUUCUGACGGACGUGACUGCGAACUUGAUACAUCCCGCACAGCCAAACGGACGCCCCACUUCGGCAAGCG